rnacentral:rRNA from 1 species
CAGCGGAGGCGCAGAUGUAAGCCUCUUGGAAAAGAGCAUCAAUGAGGGUGAGAGUCCCGUUUGUCAUCUGCAGUCCUCUGUUUACGGUGUGCUUUCUAAGAGUCACGUUCCUUGGGACUGGAGCGCAAAUUGGGUGGUAAAUUUCAUCUAAAGCUAAAUAUUGGUUCGAGACCGAUAGCAAACAAGUACCAUGAGGG